rnacentral:rRNA from 1 species
CCAUGGCUCAGAACGAACGCUGGCGGCAGGCUUAACACAUGCAAGUCGAACGCACCUUUCGGGGUGAGUGGCAGACGGGUGAGUAACGCGUGGGAAUCUACCCUUCUCUACGGGAUAGCUCCGGGAAACUGGAAUUAAUACCGUAUACGUCCUGAGGGAGAAAGAUUUAUCGGGGAAGGAUGAGCCCGCGUUGGAUUAGCUAGUUGGUGGGGUAAAGGCCUACCAAGGCGACGAUCCAUAGCUGGUCUAAGAGGAUGAUCAGCCACAUUGGGACUGAGACACGGCCCAAACUCCUACGGGAGGCAGCAGUGGGGAAUAUUGGACAAUGGGCGCAAGCCUGAUCCAGCCAUGCCGCGUGAGUGAUGAAGGCCCUAGGGUUGUAAAGCUCUUUCAGUGGGGACGAUAAUGACGG